GGGAAGGUGGCUCAGUGGUAGAGCAUUUGCCUUGCAUGCAUGAGGUCCUGGGUUUGAUUCCUCACCACCACA
rnacentral:tRNA from 1 species